UUCAUAAACUUUUCAAUCUAAAAACUUUGAAGAACUAAUAGUUAAAAUAAAAUUUCUUGAAUUAUAAAAGUUUAAACCAAUUUAAAAUCAACUUGCCAAAACUAAAGUAGUAACAUGAAAUAAAAAAAUAAAACGAUAAACUAAAACUUAACAAAUUCUACUAAAAUGUUCAAUAUAAAAUCCUUAUCCCUAGUCAUUCUCGACUUCCAUGGCCACCUCGACUCCAGAACU
rnacentral:lncRNA from 1 species